GUCUGUUUCCAGGAUCAAGUUCUUCUCUGGUUGCAUAAACACUGCGCAUCCCCUUCAAAAAAUAAACAAAAGCAGAAUUUUCAGGGCAUUUCACAAGAGAGCAAAAGCUGAGUGUCUUAAUUAUUCCAGGUAACAUUGUUGGCUUGUCCAUGCUUCCUUCUAGCAAGAUGCUACUAACCACAGGUGAUGUCCUGAAUGCUGGAAAUGAAAGUGGCAUUGGUAUUUGGAACACAGUGUUUCUCAGCUUGCUUCAAAUCGCAUUCACUACUCUGUUAAAAGCUUCACAAAGAAGUGAGAUAACCUUUCUUAGAGAUCGAUGUGUGGGAAAAAAUGGAGUAAGAGGGAUCAGCUGUGUCUUUGAUUCACUUAGAGGUGGAAAAGCUAGGGCUUGGGCUUCUUAGCAGUGAAACCAAGCCUUUAAAGCCUCAUGUUGUUUUUGGCAGACACUAUCCUCCUCCCCAUCUUAUUUACACUCUCUGUUCACGUUGGCUUCUCUUUGCAGCCUGUUAUUUGCAGAACAGAGCUUCUUUGCAGUUCCUUCUGCCAGCCUCCAGCUGAUCAUGAGCCACAGAACAGUCACCCAGAAACCUGUCACCACUGGAACGGUGCACCAGAACGGGGGAUAUGGAGUUGGACUGGAAACCCUGUACGACAGGCUGAGUCAGCCCCUUGCUCAAAAGGCCAUUAUAGCAUUCAGUUGCUGAUCUGCUUGCCAUGUGUGAUUGCACAUUGCUGCUAAAAUGGCAUAUUGGCCCUAAUCCUGAAAAGUUUUCAGACAUGUAUCUAUUCAGUGAGAUAAAGGACUAUAGGGAGAUGCCUACAUUUCCUAUAAAGAUAUCAUAUUGGUAAAAAAGGAUAGGUGCAGUGAUCUCAGAGUAUUUUGGGAUACAAAAGUGUAGGAAAGAAUGCAAAUGCACAUAUAUGUGAUCUGCAUAUACAUAUAUAUAUAGAGAGAGUACAUCUCUGUAAACGAAUGACAUUACUACAGGGAUAAUAAGACCCACAAAUAGCAUAGUCAACAAAUUUAGCUCGUUAUUUUUGUGUCUUUCACUUGUGAACUGCCAAGGAGUAGAUUGCUAUAUCCUCAAAUUUGUCUUUGAAAAUCAUCUACAAAUAACUUGUCUGUGAAACUUCUUUGACAGGGUGCCUUACGUGAUCACCUCUCUAUCUAUCCACUGAGGGUGCAAGUUUGUUCUAGUCUUUAAACUAGCAAUACUAGUUCUUUAGCCCAGACUGUAGCAGUUUGUGCUCUCAGUUCUCAAAACUCAGCACUGGGAACACUGUGCUGAACUCUUAGAAACAAAAAAAGUUGUAUUCUGCAUCUGACUGAGAGUGUGAUAUCAAAUUUCAUACAAUAUCAUACAUUUCACACUGCUUAGUACACAACAACAUGUGAGGAGAAAGACUGGGAACUCGAGACUCCUUGCAGCUGAAUGAGCAUGUUAACCAUACUGUGCUGUUCUUGCAGUCUUUGCUGUCAAAGUGAAUCAAGGAUGCCAGUGACAGACUUACACAACUACAAUACCUAAAUUACACAAAUAUAAAUGAAUUACAUAUAUGCAUGUCUGUCUACUGUGCAUGUAUGUAUAUACUUUUAUGUAUACAUAUGUAGACUUACUGGUGAGAAAGUUUUUAUUUUACCAAAUUAUCAGUUCUCUCCUUCAACUAAUGCAAAACAUCAAUACUAAUGGUAUCUUGCAUAGUCCUUCUCUGUCUCUAUAUUCAAAAUAUUUCAGUGAAGAAGGGGGAAUUUCCCAGGUAGAAAUUUCCAUGAGAAUUCCUCUUUUUUACUCAACGAAUCUGAUGAAUCUUAAUUUUUGGUUGGGGUAAAGUUCUGUUUCCUAGUGAAGAGGGAUCAAAAGGGUUUUUACCUCAUGAAUGCCUUAACACCAGCUGAGGCAGUAUGUACAUUACAGGCCACAUUUUGUUUUUUGCAGUCCUGUGAUUAUACAGCUGGUACACUCCAGGCUGCCUGCCUUCCCAUGCUGAGUCCAGUUUGUCCAUCUCGUUAGCAAUUAUGUACACCUCAAUGCUUGUUGUCUGAGCAAUCUGACAAACCUGUCUCUGAGAUAGUAGGUGCUCCUGGUGCUCAGGGGUUAGUAGUUUCAAAUAUGCCAAGGUUCAUUGCCUAGGGAAUAUGCAGGGAAGUUCUGAGUCAAAACUUAUUUUUUUUCCUUCCAUGUGAGCCUUUCAAUACUUUAUCAAAACCUCCAGUUCCUUAUAUUUUAUCAUUUCCUCUAAGACAGCCAACCUUUUUUUCUCCCACUGACUGAUCUUGAAUGAGCAUGGCUAUUGGGCAGCAAAAGAACUGCUCUGGUAAGUCACUGAGUAGGUCUUUGUGCAGGUCAUUGGCAGCCUGGACACCUCCUGAGGAGCUGGAAACAGAUCAGUCUCUCAAUGGUAGUGUUGGUUCAAGUAAGCAGGUACCAUGAUUUUUCCUAGUUUUCUGUCAAGUGAAGUUUUAACAAUGUUUCUUGAAAAAAAAAAUGCAGGAUUACAUGAUACUUGUGUGAAUGUAAUCCUUUCCCACCAGCCAGCAGUGUGGCCCGUGAUGCUGACUAUGCCCUAGAGCCUAGUGCCCUGCCUCACCUUGUCUGCAUCUUUGGUGCUUUAACAGAACUGGUCUUAGCUCUAUGGCUCUAUGAAGAGCUAUAUUCCCUGAAGUGAGGCUGGGCCUGGGGCACUCUCUAUAGCAGAAGGGCAAUAAUGGGAAGGAGUUACACUGGACACUGCCAACCUCUGCUUUGUCCUGACUCAGUCAUGUUUACUCUGCAUAUAAGUGUGUAGUACCCAAAACCAGGUUCGCUGGCAGGAUCCCACAUCUUCUGAACUCACAAACUAUAAAGAAGUCUGAGGUGACAGAAGCAGCAAAGACUGCACCUUGAAGAUAUAUCAUGUCAUGCAUCAAAAAAUGUUCCAGUCCACAUUAAAAGUGGCCUUACUGUGUUACCCUUAUCCCCAAGUAAUUCCCCAGCAUUCAAGAAGUGAUUCUUCUCCUUGUUCCAGGCCUGUAAGUCCUUGCUGAUCCAAUUUCAAAAUCAUAGUCACAAGGUGAUUAACCAUUGCUGGUAUAUAAACCUAAUGCUAUUUACUUGUUCUGGGGCUUUAAAAGAAGUUUUUUUUUCCUUACCUAAACAGGUAUUACCAUUGGUAAUUUAGUUUGAAAAUUAAGAUACACAUUGUUUGAUAAAAAUUACAAGCAGCUCUUGUAAUUCAGAAAUCACUUGAUUGUAGUAACUCACUCCUUUUCUCUAACAUAGAAGAAAUAUAUGCAAAAUUGUCUUCCUUAGAAAGAUGUUGGCUGCGAAUAAGCAAUCUUGGAUAAUAAGAACAUCUUUCCAUCAAAGAGAAAGGAAACUUUUGACAACACAGACUGAUGUUUUUCAUCUGUAUGUGUUUUAUAGCUUAGUGCAUGUUGGCUUCACUUAGAGAACUCAAAAGCUUGUGUUUACUUAGAAUAGAAAAGCAAAAUAUAUUCAUAAAAUUACAACAUAGUUAAAAAUAAAUUAAAAAACCAAACCAAAACAAAACAAAAAAACGGGAAACAGAUUAGGUUUGCUCAGAAAUGGAGGAAAACCCUCCAGGAACUUCAGAAUUACGUAUUACGAGUACAUUUCUGCAAGUGCAGUCUUAGCAUUUGAAGCGUCACAAAGAAGGUUCGCAGGACAGCUCGGAGUGAGAACUCCCCAGCUCUCAAGUUCAGCUCUAAAAUACAGGUUGCGAGGGGGUGGUACUUGCCACGCGCUGGCUCCCGCGGCACUCGGGCCCGCGCCCACCCGCGCGGGGCGAGGCUGCAGUUUCUGCAACGCCCACGAGAUGGCGCUGUGACCCCUCGUACCGCGCCCGCCAACCGGGUCCCGGCCCCGGCCCCGGCCCCCGCCCCCGCCCCCGCCCCCGCCCCCGCCCCCGGACAGGGCUCGUUGCUCCCCGUCCGCCGGCACUGCCAAAACUCAGGCACCGAGGAGCCGAAACAAGAUAAAAUAAUAUAGUUUCCUUCGGUUGGAUGAAUAAUAUUUUGCCACCGUUUAGCUGAGCUGUCUUUUAAAUGGACUGUGUCUACAAGCAAGCUGUUUACCCAUGUUCUGGCAAUGGGUCUUAAAGGAGCGUGGGUCUAAAGCCAGUAAAUACUGAGAUACUGCAAUAAGAGGAGCUGCAGUAUAAUAGACUGGAAAGAAAAACCCAACCAAAACACAGAAGAUUCUGGAUUAUUUAAGUAACUGAACUAUCAGAUAGUUUGGUUUCCAAGUUGGAGUAGGAGGACCUUGAGAAUUUUGUGGCCUAUGUAAUUCAUGUUGCACUGAGGAAUGAAAAAGAUUUGCAUUUGAAUGAAUCUGCUUUCGUGGCUAUUGCAGACCCACAGUUAUUUGAUUACAGACUCUUCUUGCAUGGAAUAAUUAGAAAGAGCAGGAGCAACCACUAACAUGAAUUUGUAACAUGAAGUUGAACCCACUCAAGUUAAGGAGAAAAAAACAUACACCUCUUUCAUAUGAUGUGGAGAACAAAGUUCACAUAUCCAUUGAAGCACAGAUACUGCAAUGGCUAAGAGGUCACCACAAAGUAGAAGCAGAGUCAUCUGAAAAAUGCAGGGACUCUUGAUCCACCACAGAAAUCUUUUCCUCUAACAGAAUGCUUUAAACUUCUCUGUUUUGGAAGGAAGAAGAUGCAAGAUCUGCUUUAGUUAAAUUAAUAUCUGUGUGUUUUUCUCCUCUGUGAACUUGAUUUGGAAAAAGCCUCCAGCAGAGCAUAGACAACAUUAAAAGAAAUGAAACAGAGAAGCACAUUUGCAAGUAUUGCUGUCUCUGUGUUUUUUUUUCUGACAGUGAUGUUUCUGGCAGUGGGGGGAGCUUGGAAGGUGUAUCUGGGCAAAUUUCUUUUCAAGCAUGGAGCAUUUCACUGAUUUCCCUAGCAUCAUUCAUUUCCUGACCACUGCAUUCCGAGCUGUCAUUCUCUCUUAUUUAAUCCUGCGUCAUAUUCCUACAUCUGUUGAACUGUAUUGUUCAACCUAGUCUUAUCUUUGCAGGAGUUUUUAGUUUUCUUUGAGACCAGAGUAGUACCGUACAUUCAUUCCCAGAGAGUGCUGGUGAGUGAUGCCACACAAGUCCCUUCCUCAGAGAUUGAGGGCAUCACCCCUAUUAUAAACCAGCUACUGUCAGGGACCAAGGUUAGCUUCCAUCACCUGUGGCUGAAUCUUCCAGGUCACAGCGUUAGUACCGCAUUGUCAAGAUUCAGGGCAGAUCUCAGCUUUUCAUGUUUAAUUUUUCUCUCUUUUUUUUUCCUUCUCAGUGAUUUCUAACCUGUGGUUCUUUGAAUGCUAAGUGCUGCAAAGCUGCAGCUACAGGCAGCCAGGCUCUUCUACUGUCUGCCACAGGAAGGGCUAAUAUUUUAUUUUAAAGGAAAAAGCACAAUGAUGACAAUAAUUAGGUAGACUGUAUUUCAGGGUUAAAGAAAAACAAUUCUUAAACCACAUCUCUAAAUUAAGUGCUGAACCUGACAUUAUUUUUCUCAGUUCAUUUAAAAACUGACUGGAGAAUAGUGAAAGAGGUUAUUAAAAGGACGCAGUUAAAAGUUCAAGCCACUAGGAUUUAUGUCCCACUACUGUGAAAUAAAGCAUUUCUUUCUGAUUUUAAGUACUGUUUCAGCCAAUUGUCAGCCUGAGAAUGUACUGAUUUUUGAAGGGCAUUUCUGAUGCCUUAUAUCAAAGGCGACAGACAUUGAAUGCUUUCUCCAGCUUGUGUAAUAGAGCUGUGCUCUCUUUAACUCACCUGUGAUUUAACUGAUGUGUGAAGGAACUUGAACACCUAUUGCCCUCUAUAAGCAGUUACUAAAAAAAAAAAAAAAAGGGAAUAACUUGUUAUAUUAGAUGUGUAUACUGUUCUAUUCACUUGGAAAGGACUGU